GUGCGUAUGAACGAUCAGAGGGAUGGGGAAGGGGGUGCAAACCCUAAUUCAUGAAGAACCUUCAAAUUGAAAGAGGAAUUAGCCGAAAAAUUGAUGCAUGAAGUAAGAUUGGUGAUCACCCAAGUAUUCUACACAUCAAGUACAUGCCAUUUUGGGCGCGAACUCGGGAGGCAACGAGACGAACAUAUGGAAUACGUAUCAACUACUUACGGGUCAAAGAGAAUACUAUGGACAAGGGAAUCACAACCCACGAGUAUGGUAUAAUGGGAACAAGAGGUUCGCGGACUGAUGAAUGGAACAAGGUUUGGCGACAAAUCCGAGAUCGGGUCAGCAAUGUCGGUUCGUCCAUCCGUCAGGUUAUAUCGCCGACUUAGACGGGUCAUCAUGUUUUACUUGGCUUUUUAGGCAUUCGGUAACUUUAAACCGUGUAAGCUUCAUGAGUCAGACGUAGUGUCUUGUUUUGUUUAUGUUCAAGUUAGAGUUGUAAAAUGGAUUGUAAACAGGUUUUGUUACCGUAACGGUUAUCCGUAUUACGAACGGGUCAUGCCGAAAUUUUAUAAAAAUUGGCAUGAAAUAUGUAAGUGUUUAAAUGAUGGUAACUAUCAAAUGAAAGUCAAGACACUAUAAUUGUUUCUAGAAA